rnacentral:lncRNA from 1 species
GGCCAAAGGAAGAUGUCAUAUAUCCUGCCCUGUCACUGCCUGACUUAUUUCCUGGAGACAGGGGCUCUCACUGAGCCUGGAGCUGUGUUGGUGACUAGCAAGCCCCAGUGAUCCCACAGAACAGGGACUUUUAUGUUGGUAUUGGGGAUCAUAACUCACGUUUGUGUAGCAAUUGCUUGUGCUGUGUAACUCUGAGCCACCUCUCCAGCUUAGGAAUAUUAUUUUAUAAUUUGAAAGAUCUAAAAAUGCAUUUUCUUUUGUAGUUAUAGAAGGUGCUCUUGGCUAGAGUGGAGGAGUGGCUAGGGAGAUGACUCAGUUGGUUAAAGCACUUGCUGCUCUGGCAGAAGACCUGAGUUUGGUUCUCAGCACCUGCUUGGCAGCUUAUAACCGUCCACAGUAUCUCCAGUUCCAGGAGAUCUGAGGUCCUCUUCUGCUCUCCAUGACCAUGCAUGCAUGUGGUGUACAUUCACACAUGCAUGUAAAAAACCAUGUACAUAAAAGAAAGAGAGGAAAAAACAGAUGCUCCGUUUAUUAUUUAUUUAUUUAAUCGUGGUGCCAGUGGUCAGAGCCUCGUGCAUGCCAAAUGAAUGGCCUGGCACAUGUCCAUCCCAACCCUAAGGAUGCUCCUUUUAAAGCUUCAGAGUGGGACUAGCAGGAUGGCCCAGUAGGUAAAUAAAUGGUGGUUAUCACCAAGCCUGUUGACCGACCCAAGUUCCAUUUCUAGGACUCAUGGUGGAAAGAGAGAGCCAGCUCCCAGAAGUUAUCUACUGACCUAUACACAGACAAGAAAAAAAAAUUUUUUUUUUAAUCCUUAAAGAGUUCAGGGUAGCAAGAACAAAGUACAGCGACUGUGCUACACGUGUGAGUUUUACAGGGAGAAGAGGGUGGUUCUGAAAUGGUCAAAGACCAUUGCAGAGACGGAAGAGGAGGGUGGAGAAACUGAAUUUUGACUCACAGCUGAGUAAAGUUUUGGUGCUGGCUGUUGGAUUCUCGGAUAAUGAUUUACCAGGACAGGGACUUGUUAGGUCUUGCUUCGGGUGUUAGAACACUUUUGCCAAAUUAGACAGUGCUGAGCGGCACAUGACAGUUUGCUGGCUACUUUUCAUAAGCACUUACUAGAUCUAAAGCAUUGUGGGAAUCUACAGUGGUGUGGGUAUUACUGAUGUGCGUUACCCUUGGGUUAUCGUCCCUCUGGUGGAACACUGAUCCCACGUUGUCAAUCUGCGUUGAGCAAUAGAUAACGCUCCACUAGAAAAGGUCAGGCGUCCUCUUCUGACCAAAUGCUCAUUCUUUCCUUUCCUUUCCUUUCCUUUCCUUUCCUUCCCUUUUCCCUUUUCCCUUUUCCCUUUUCCCUUUUCCCUUUUCCCUUUUCCCUUUUCUCUUCUUUUCCUUCUUCCUUCCUUCCUUCCUUCCUUCCUUCCUUCCUUCCUUCCUUUCAAUGGUGGACCAAGAUGUACAAUUGUAUGUUGAUCUGGUAGAGACCUGGAAUAGAGUCAGACGUGUGGGUUAAAUGAGGACCUAACUAACUAAUCCAGCAAGGUAAAGAAGAAUCGUAUUCUCCCAAGGCCUAGACACUUUUCCUUUCUGUCAGCACUUGGUGGUAUUUCGGGAGCACCGGACAUCAACAUCUUUGAAUGUUAGUUACAGCACAGAUAGGGGACUGUACAUCCCCUGACAGUUCUCUAGGAACCAUGAAGACAUCCCUUUAAAUGAAGCAUGGGCCACCAACCUGCUCAGCAGCCAGGGUGCACGUACCCUAUGAAGGAACCUUAACUUGAAAGCAGCGUGAUUGGCUUCCAUAUCAUCUUUGAAUAUAAAUUGAUAUUCCUAGUUUCAGCGUGUCCUCAUAGAGACCAACAGACCAGGUUUAUUCUUUCAGGAAGUUUUUCAACACCGGAAGUUGUGUGUUAUCUGCACAUGGACUGGAUUGCCCACUGACUCAUACAAACAUCGGAAAAAAGGACUGAAGAAAGGCGGGUUUCAGGAACCAACUCCAGCCCACUUACGGCUUUUGAGCAGCUUGAAAGAAGAUAAUUCUAGAAAUGAGUGACGAGAUCCUAGUCAUUUCUACAUUUGUCUGUAGACAUUCAUCGUCUUUAUUAACCUGUCUGCUUGGGGAAUGGUAUUUGAGCUAUUGUCCAUCACUGUAGCAGCUAGUAAUCUACUUGUGGUCAGAGUUUUUACCUGUGGGUACAGAAAUCACAUCAGUAGUAGAUGGAAGAGAAACCACUCAUCAAGACAGUGAUGUCCCACACACCCGCAGAAAUUGACUUUCAUUAAACAAUCACUAAAAGAGUGUGGUACCCACCAA